rnacentral:lncRNA from 1 species
UAUGAGUAUGACUACAGAGUCUCUAGGUAUCCCCUUCGUCGUCCUCCUGCGGAACGGGCUCGGGAACCAUGUCUUCCUGAUCUGAAAUGGUUAAAUAAGGAGUGAGCUACACUAGCCCAGUAAGAACAUCACGAUAUCUCACCGUCACGGAGGUAAAGGUGGGUAGAAAAACACAAAAAGACCAAUGGAGCACAAUUUACAAUAAACUCGUUUAUUAACAUGAAAACCUUUACCAUCCACUUACCUUGGUGGAAUUUAUGAAAACAAUAUGAGAAAAACAAUAACAUCAUCAUAAUCAUUGAAUAAUCUAAGCUGUAAAACAUAACACUUAUCACGCCUCUUGUAAUUCAAUC